ensembl:lncRNA
AUGCCUUCACAUUCUGAAACCUUAAACAGUUUGAUGGACGGCUAUGGAAAUGACUUACCGAAAAUUCGGCCAAACAUCAUCUUUUGUUGUGUGUGCCAAGAGGCUAUAAAGCGGGCUAAGACCGCAGUCUAUCAGAAGAUGCAACAGAAGAUAAAUGAUGUCUGUAACAAAUUCAUAAAGGAUUUUCGAAACAUCUGCCUUCAACGUGCAGAGAGAUAUCGGGACAUCAUACUGCACAAGCUCUUCCCUGGUGGGAGCCCAAGGGGAACAUGUUUUAAGAUAAAGUUAUGCUCAUAACAACUGUGCUGGUGGCUGUUGAAGGGAUACAUAUACAUGUUACUACCUCAUUUUAAAUGUCUUUACAUUAACAAAGCUGUUUUUCAUUAUUUCAUUCAGAAAAUGCAGUUAAAUGCCUUUAAAGUCAAAAAUGCCUUUAAAAUGUUCUAAUAGAUGGAUGUUUAUUGUACUGAAAAUAAUCUACUGAGUUUUUUUUUUUGGGGGGGGGGGGUCUUCUGUAAAGUGUAAGAUUGUGUUGUUUUACAUUAAAUACGCAUUAACAAUCUAAUCAUUUUCAUGUGAUUUUCUCAUUCUGGUUGUUUUCUUCAUUUAGCCAAGCCAUGCCAAAACAGAUAAUGUUUGAACUCCAAUAAUUAAUGUCAUAAUAGCCAAAUGAUUUGUAAAACAUGUACAGUACAUGAAUUAAAAAAAAAAAGCAAAAUAUGCAAUUCUGUAACAAUUGUUUGUUUUUUCAAAAAGUUGCUUUACACUUUAAACUUGAUCAUUUUGUUUCCUUGUCAUUCUCAGUCACACAGUUCCACUUUGGGUAUUGCACAUUAGAGUUUAUGAUGCCUGGAGAGUUUUAAAGCUGCUCUUUGAACACUGUUGAAGUUUCUGACCACUAAACUAUCAGACAGGAUUGCAGUUUUCUGACAAAUGUGGUUUAACAUUAUACUGUAAGGAACUUGACUCAGAAUACAAACAGGCUAAUAUAAUAAUAGUGAUCAGCAUCUGAAUACUUUUGUUACAUCAUAAGAACAUAUGAAGAGUUGGUCCAGGGUUAGAUGAGGGUUUAACUGACUUUACUUCACACAUUUGACAGGUUUUUCUGUGCACACUUCAGCAAAACCAAAGCAAAACACAGUUAGAGUGCACUCUCACUUUUAAAUAAACAAAUUACAAAAAAAAAAAGAAAAAGGAAA